rnacentral:lncRNA from 1 species
UUUGACUUAACUAAGGAAUGUAGCCAAUAUCUAUUAGGUGAGCCUACAUAAUUUAGAGAUCGAAUCACUGCAUUAUGCUUGAAGAAGCAUUGGACAAGAGUCAUCCACUCAUCGGUGUAACAUAUUAACCAAUAUCUAUAAGAUGAGGUGCACGUAUAUUGAUGGGACCGUAGUACCUACUAGAUAUUUUUAUCGUAUUAGAAUUUUUAUUUCUCCAUCCG